GUUAUUUAUCAAGCUCUUAAUAAAUUAAAUAGUGAUUUAACAAAUAUAAUGUAAAAGAAUAUUCCAAGAAUAACCUUGGAGUAUCACUUGAAUUUUCAAAACGACCUAACAAUGCUAAACUAUAAGCUCAUAACUCAUAACCUAUCAAAAAAAGUACAGAUAAAACAAAAAAACUAUUUAAAUCUUGAGAAAUGAAAUAUGAGAAAAAAAAUGAAAAGAGAAGAAAUAAAUUUUAAAGUAUAUGUAAAUUUUAGAUAUUAAGUUUGUUGACCUUACCCACUUGAUUGCCA
rnacentral:lncRNA from 1 species